rnacentral:rRNA from 1 species
AGCGAACGCUGGCGGCAGGUCUAACACAUGCAAGUCGAACGAAGUCUUCGGACUUAGUGGCGGACGGGUGAGUAACACGUGGGAACGUGCCUUUAGGUUCGGAAUAACUCAGGGAAACUUGUGCUAAUACCGAAUGUGCCCUUCGGGGGAAAGAUUUAUCGCCUUUAGAGCGGCCCGCGUCUGAUUAGCUAGUUGGUGAGGUAAAGGCUCACCAAGGCGACGAUCAGUAGCUGGUCUGAGAGGAUGAUCAGCCACAUUGGGACUGAGACACGGCCCAAACUCCUACGGGAGGCAGCAGUGGGGAAUCUUGCGCAAUGGGCGAAGGCCUGACGCAGCCAUGCCGCGUGAAUGAUGAAGGUCUUAGGAUUGUAAAAUUCUUUCACCGGGGACGAUAAUGACGGUACCCGGAGAAGAAGCCCCGGCUAACUUCGUGCCAGCAGCCGCAGUAAAAC